rnacentral:rRNA from 1 species
AACCAGCGGAGGGAUCAUUAGCGAGUUUUCACACUCCAAACCCCUGAGAACAUUCCAUCUUUGGCUGCUUCGGCGGGUUAUAGCUGGCGGUGGGAUCAAACCCGCGCCAGUGUGUCCCGUAAGGGGCGCCCGCCGGUGGUGGUAAAAAACUCUUUUACCUCUUUACUAUCAAGAAAUUUGGCAAAAGCAAAUAAGCAAAACUUUCAACAACGGAUCUCUUGGUUCUGGCAUCGAUGAAGAACGCAGCGAAAUGCGAUAAGUAAUGUGAAUUGCAGAAUUCAGUGAAUCAUCGAAUCUUUGAACGCACAUUGCACCUAGUGGUAUUCCGCUAGGUAUGCCUGUUCGAGCGUCAUUUCAGCCCUCAGUGCCCUAUUUUUUUUAGGGCCGCUGGUGUUGGGGUGCUGCAGCGCCUCUUGCGCCCAUUGCAGUCCCUGAAAUUUACCGGCGUGCUCGCUGUCGUGCUCUUUGCGUAGUGGUUUUUAUCAAUUUUCUCGCACCGAGUCGUGGCGCUGCCCAGCCAUAAAACCUUUUUAUUUCAUGAACGCUUGACCUCGAAUCAGGUAGGGUUACCCGCUGAACUUAAGCAUAUCAAUAAGCGGAGGAAAAGA